GAAAGGUUCUAGGAAAAUGAAAUGCCUGGGGUCUCCUUAAGUUGAAGAUACCCUCAGGCUACAAUCAUGGGGGAGGAAUGGCAGGGGGAUGGGAAGAGGGACCAUGACUUUGAGAGCUUGAGAGAUGAAUGCGUCUCAGCUUGUGAUGCUUCAGCUUUUUGUAGGUAAAUAGACAGGGCAUGUAGUAGGGGAUAAUAAAGGAGAAAGACGAAAUAAGGUAGGGAAAUCUUGGAAAGGGCUUAAGAUAUUAGGCUGAUAUUAAGGAUCAGAGUCAAGUCACAAGAAUCACUUCACCUAUGUAGGUAGACUGGAGUCAGGACAGACACUGGAACUAAGGCCAAGGCGAGCCUGGGGUCAGAAUACAGAUAGUCACAUGAGAACCAGGGGAUUCAGCUACAUGAGAGUAAGACAAUGUCCUGCCAACUCCUGGGCAUGGCAGAAUGGAGAAGUUGGACUCUUGUGAGCCUCUGUUGCUGGGCACUGCUUGCCAGGUUCUCCUAGCUCCCCAGCUCCCACAGGGGAGCUCUCAGGACCGUCUUUUCCUUAUGUGGUUACUCCUUACUCCUUUGUUCCAAGCUGGAGUGGAAAGUGGGACCCAGUCUACCCUUCUUUGCUCUCCCUGAGGAAAUGGACAUGAAUCUGUGAAGUAUCAAAAGAUUUUAUUGCUAAUCAGUCAUGGUGACACAGACUAGAACAAAAAUUAGAAGCAUGGUAAAAUUGCUAAUUAGAUAAUCUUGCAAAAUUUAAAAUUCUAAAUAAAAUUCUAGAUUUCCUGUAGAAUUUUCAGAAAAAUUUACUGAAAACUCCUUUGCAUUUAUUUCUCUCUUCGUCUCCCUUUCUCUUUCUCUCCACCCCCAUCCCAUUCCCUGAGGCU
rnacentral:lncRNA from 1 species